GUUUUUUAGUGAUUCAAAAGAACCACAACACAAACACUCUCAUUUUACUCUCUUCUUCCUCUCUAAGGCAACCCAUCAUUAAAGAGUGUGCGAUCUUGAAACCCUAGCACAUAGUACCUUAUUGUUGAGCUUCUUUUUCUAAUUUUGACUGAUUUCAAAGAACUACUAUAGAAGCAAGGGAAAGCUUGCAUCUUGGACUCCAGGCACAUAAGUUAAAGGUGCUAAGAAGAUCCUCAACCUAAUGUUGGAGGUUAUUUAUGGUGGCUAAUUGUGAAAGGUCCUAUAGAAUGGAUGAUUGGGUGAAUCCCUAAAUAGGUUAAGGUUGUUGCAAGCCUUACCGAGGUAAGCCACUACCCAUGCUCAUCCAUUUUCGCUAAAAUCACACUUCCUUUGUAGGGUUCAUUUGAGUUUCUUCGAAUGAUCAAAGUUUGACUAUGUUAAAGGAUGUACUUGGGUUAAUUACUCAAGAUGAAAUAUUUUGAGACUAAAAAGUCAGCACGACAUAACAUGAUAGUUAGACAUAUACAUUGAUAAUUGUCACAUGAGAAUGAUGUGUUAUUUGAUGAGUCGUAUUAGUAUAUGGCUAUCGAAAAAGUGAAGGAUUUAUAUAUCUCUUUUAACAUGACGAUCUUAUAUUAUUUCAAUUAUGUGAUGUUUUCUUUUAAAAUGAACUUAUCCUUGCGUUUUCUGUUAAACUGCGAUGAUUGUAUCUUUGACAUGGGAGUAGAUUACCUUUAGUGAUACGAACAGAGGACAAUGGUGAGCUUUGUUUCGAGGACAGUGGACCUCCUUACUACACUAAAUCACUUUGAUCAAAUUCAUUCUAGUGUUUUAUUCAUAUAUUUGUGUAUUUAUAAGGAUAAUGGGCUGCAUCAUAACUAAAUUGAUUCUCCACUAUAACAACUUUUACAUUCCACUACUAACAACCUAUAACAACAUUUGGCAUUUUCCUAAGACAUACUACUACU